rnacentral:lncRNA from 1 species
GUAUGAAUUAAUUUGUCAGCUUUUCUAGGGUUAUAUAAUAUAAGGCCUUGAGAAAUGAAACCCUUAAGCUGGCAAGUUUAGAAAAAUGGGUGAAAUGUUUGGAUUGCCACUUCAAAACGGCAGGUCCUGGUUGAAGUCUGGGCAUCUAAGAAUUGUGGGGGUGGGAGCAGGUGAUAGGAAUCAGGAGUAGAAACAGUAAGAGAGGGUUUGUAUGAUACACCUGGUCUUUGGUGGGAAUGGGGAUCAGUUCUUGUAUGAGUCAGUUCUCACGCUGCUAAUAAAGACGUACCAGAGACUGGGUAAUUUAUAAAGAAAAGAGCUUUAAUUGGCUUACAGUUUCACAUGGCUAGGGAGGCCUCAGGAAACUUAUAAUCACGGCGAAAGGGGAAGCAAACACAUCCUUCUUCACAUGGUGGCAGGAGAGAGAAUGAGAGCCGAGCAAAGGGGGGGAUGCCCCUUAUAAAACCCCCACAUCUCGUGUGAACUCAGUAUCACAAGAACAGUAUGGGGGAAACCGCCCUCAUGAUUCAAUUAUCUCCACCUGGGCCCCCCUUGACACGUGGGGAUUAUUACAAUUCAAGAUGAGAUUUUAGGUGGGGACAUAGCCAAGCCAUAUCAGUUCUCCUGCAACCACCACAGCCUGAGGAGGAGCACUGAAGAGGCCAAGGAUUCCACUGCGCAGUGAGACAGGGUGCAGCAGGCUUUCAGUACGAUUCAGGCUCUGGUGGCUGUGAGGUGUGGGUUCUUAUGACUCUCAACUCCUGGUAUCUUUUGCUUCUGGAUGGUGCGGUAAGAGGGACUGGGGGUUGUCGUCCGUCUGUCUGGACUUCCCAAAGGAGAAGUCAUGGUGAGGCCCAGGGAAAGGACCAUCUAGGCUAUCACAGGGCUGGGUAAAAGAAGUCCUCAGUGCUCACUUUUUAAAAAAGUUAUUUUAAUUUAUUACUAUUAUCAUUUUAUUAUUAUGUUUGAACACUCUUGGUGACCAUUAUUAUUACUUUACUGUGGUAAAAUAUAACAUAAAUUUUAUCAUCUUGGUGAUUUUUUUUUUUUGAGACAGAUCUCACUCUGCCACCCAGACUGGAGUGCAGUGGUGUGAUCUUGGCUCACUGCAGCCUCAACCUCUGGGCUCAAGUGAUCCUCCCACCUCAGCCUCCCAAGUAGCUGGGACUACAGGUGUGCACCACCGUGCUUGGCUAAUUUUUGUAUUUUUUGUAGCGAUAGGGUCUCACUAUGUUGCCUAGGCUGGCCUCAAACUCCUGGACUCAAGAGAUCCUUUUGUCUGGGCCUCCCAAAGUGUUAGGAUUAUAGGCGUGAGCCACCACCACGCACGCCUGGCCGUCGUAGCCAUUUUUAAGUGUGCAGUUCAGUGGUUUUGAAUACAUUCAUAAUGUUGUGCAACCAUCACCACCAUCCAUCUCCAGAACCCUCUUCAUCUUGUAAAACUGAAACUCUGUGCCCAUUGAACAAUAACUCCUGAUUCCCUCUUGCCCCAGCCCCUGGCAACCAUUAUUCUACUUUCUGGCUCUAUGAUUUUGACUAUUCUAGAUACCUCAUAUAAGUGGAAUCAUACAGCAUUUCUCUUUUUGUGACUGGCUUAUUUCAUUUAGCGUAAUGUCUCAGCACCAUCCAUGUUGUAGCAUGUGUUGGAAUUUUUUCCAUAUUAAGGCUUAGUAAGAUUCCAUUGUACAUUUAUACCCACUUUGUUUACCAAUCAUCUGUUGAUGGACACUUCAGUUGCUUCCACAUUGUGAAUAAUGCUGCUACAAACAUGUGUGUACAAAUAUUUCUUUGAGACCCUGCUUUAAAUUCUUCUGGGUAUAUACCAAGAAGUGGGAUUGCUGGAUCAUAUGGAAAUUCUAUUUUUAAUUUUUUGAGGAACCACCAUACUGUUUUCCAUAGCAGCUGUACCAUUUUACAGUCCCACCAACAGUGCACAAGGAUUCUAAUUUCUUCACAUCCUCGCCAACAUUUGUUUUUUCCUAUUUAUUUAUUUAUUUGAGAUUUGAGGGUCUUGGUAUGUUACCCACGCUGGCCUCCAAUUCCUUGGCUCAAGAGAUCCUCAUGCCUCAGCCUCUAAAGUAGCUGGGAUUACAGGCACAAACCAUAGCACCUGACAUAUUUUCCAUUUUUUUGGUUAGUAGCCUUCCUAAUGGGUGUGAGGUGAUAUCUCAUAGUAUUUUGGUUUGCAUUUCCCUAAGAAUUAAUGAUGUUGGUCAUUUUUUCAUGUGCUUAUUGGUCACCUAUAUAUCUUCUUUGGAGAAACAUCUGUUCAGUUCGUUUUUGAAUUGGGUUGUUUUCCUCAGUCCUCAGUCUUGUCACAUGUAUGGAUGUGAUAUCAGAUCAGCAGCAUGUAAGUUAGUCUUCUUGGAGCUGAAGCAGCAGCAGGAAGUGGUGAGGACUCUGGCUCCUGGGUUCCAGCUCUCUUGCUCUCCCUUGCUCAUCAGGCUAAUAUCAGCAUGAGUGACAGGAAAGCCUGGAAGACUAACUUCACCUUCUUUAACAAUCCUUUUACUCAGGGUCAGCCCAGAGUAGCAGGUUCUGGGUGCCACCUAAGACAUCUGAUUUAAGGUGAAGAGUGAUGUAUUUAGAAUUGGCCAGUGCUUUGACAGCUGCAAACAUAACCUUUAACACGCAUAUUAAAAUGAAUACUGAGCUUAGUUCAGUCUUUCAUUUCCUUUUAAUACUUGAAAAGCUACAGUUUUGUUUUAAAGUUCUCUUAAAAGGCUCUAGCAGGUGAAUUUAUUCUUCUGCUUGAUUGCAUUUGGACCCUUAAAUAACAGCCACCUUGAAACUGAAACCGGGAAAACCCCAGGUCUCUGGCCAGAAGAAG